GACGAACGCUGGCGGCGUGCCUAAUACAUGCAAGUCGAGCGAAGUUUUUCUGGUGCUUGCACCGGAAAAACUUAGCGGCGAACGGGUGAGUAACACGUAAAGAACCUGCCUCAUAGACUGGGACAACUAUUGGAAACGAUAGCUAAUACCGGAUAACAGCAUUAACUGCAUGGUUGAUGUUUAAAAGUUGGUUUUGCUAACACUAUGAGAUGGCUUUGCGGUGCAUUAGCUAGUUGGUGGGGUAAAGGCCUACCAAGGCGACGAUGCAUAGCCGACCUGAGAGGGUGAUCGGCCACACUGGGACUGAGACACGGCCCAGACUCCUACGGGAGGCAGCAGUAGGGAAUCUUCCGCAAUGGGCGAAAGCCUGACGGAGCAACGCCGCGUGAGUGAAGAAGGAUUUCGGUUCGUAAAGCUCUGUUGUUAGGGAAGAAUGAUUGUGUAGUAACUAUACACAGUAGAGACGGUACCUAACCAGAGAGCCACGGCUAACUACGUG
rnacentral:rRNA from 1 species